rnacentral:misc_RNA from 1 species
CCGUCACACCAUGGAAGUUGGCCAUGCCCGAAGUCGUUACCCUAACCGUUCGCGGAGGGGGGUGCCGAAGGCAGGGCUGAUGACUGGGGUGAAGUCGUAACAAGGUAGCCGUACCGGAAGGUGUGGCUGGAUCACCUCCUUUAAGGGAGACCUACCAAUUCUACUCUGAACAAUAUUAAUUAGGAGAGAGUUUGGUCACUCUAGGUCGAACAGGAUUUUUGAAUCUCAAGCUAUUGUUUAGGUUUAAUGUUUAUUAUCUGAUUUUAAUUUUGAUUAGUUAGGAUUGGGUAGUAAGGAUUGGGGCUAUUAGCUCAGGUGGUUAGAGCGCACCCCUGAUAAGGGUGAGGUCCCUGGUUCGAGUCCAGGAUGGCCCACUGGGAUGGGGGUAUAGCUCAGUUGGUAGAGCGCCUGCUUUGCAAGCAGGAUGUCAGCGGUUCGAGUCCGCUUACCUCCACCAAAUUAGAUAGAUUAUGAUUUCAGCACCCUGUGUAUUGACGAGUGUCAAAGACUUAGGCUGCUGGGUUUAUAGCCUAGCGAGAACCUUGACAACUGCAUAGAUUAGUCGAAUAGGUAGUUCGACACAGAGAACCAUUAGUAGAAAGACUGAGAG